AGAAAAUCAAAUCUAUGGAAGAGCCCCAAAUGAGGAAGACAGGAGCUACAAAACAGAAAACAGCACAAUGGCAAUAGAAAAAUUGGACCAGGGAACCAAAUUUAUGAAGUAAGAACUGUCACCAAAGUAUUCCAUAGCUGUUGUUGGAUCCGAGAACAAAGAAAGCCAAAGCACGUAUGUAUGCAGUGGCCACUGUCACAAGGAUGCCUGGAUGAGUGAAGAAAGGCCUGAUUGAGCGCAAGGUCCUAUCAAAUGUCAAAGCUGGCCCUGGCUGACCUCCCAUCUAUUCAGAGCUGCUUUGAUUUAAUCUCUAAACUGGCUGCUUCUCUAGGCUGUGAGUUCUAUCUGCAACCCAUGUGUCAGCAUUGAGAUAUGACCUGCUUCACGCUCCAUUCAUCUCAUUUGAAGGACGGAAAUUAAAAUCGAGGGUCGAAGAGGGGAACAGCUCAAAAUACACACACAUUAACUGAAGCCUUUUGUGUGGGUGCAUUAUAGGAGUUUGAACAACCAUUAAAAAUUAUAUUAAAAUGAAAUUGAUCUUUACUCCACUGAAAUGGUUUAGAACUUUCUCUCCCCUUACCGCCCCUUCAUCUAUUCUUCUUUCUUCCCUCUUCUGUUUGUAGUACCCACGUAUACUGAUCUCAUUAAGGUUCAGAGUAAAAGAGGAGAAACAUAAUUUUUCAGUUUCUUUAAAAAUGGUGGCCUUUCGAAAAUUCAUACAUUGCCUAUAAUUUGCACAGUAAGUUAAAAAAAGAGAAAGAAAGAGCUGAUGACACACAAUAGAUAUGUAGGUUGCUUUGUUCAGCACUAUUGAUUCAUUUACAUUUCACCUUUCAAAUUCUUAAAAAUUCAAUUAAAACUCAAAUUUUGGGAAUAGUCAGGGUACAGUUUAAAUUUGUGUAUUCUAGGUUCUAUUUCCUUUUCCCUUCUUUCUUUUUUGUCCUAUAGAUUGAACCCAGGGCCUUGUGCACACCACUGAGAUAAAUCUCCAACCAUAGAUUCUAAUUUUUUUUUUUUAAUAAAUUUCCCUUGCUCUUUCCAUUGACCCUUUUAUACUU